GCUCGAAUAAACGCCUCGAGAUCCGUGCGCGGCGCUAAAUGCGCGUCCGUCCAUCCGUCCCGUCUUGAAACACGGACCAAGGAGUCUAGCAUGUGCGCGAGUCACGGGGAGUUCUAACCCCCACGGCGAUAGUGAAAGCGACAAAGCUCCGUCUCCGCKUCAAAGCGGAGUCGGCAGCGUUGGGCCGAUCCGAUCAAUUAGCUGAUUGAUCGAAACGACGGCGGUCUGCUGCUUCUUCUUUGAAGGAGGAGAUCGCGAUGAUGAUGAUGAURAUAAUAAUAAUACAAAAUCAGCUAGCGGUAAAAUUGUCCAUCGGCGCAGGCCCGGGGCUCGUCAUACGACUCGCUACCCGUCGAAGACCGUCGAAGCGAUUCCGGUGAAAUAGUAGUCAUAGGCGUAUCGCGCCGCUCCCCUUUUCUCGUUCUUCUUCCUC
rnacentral:rRNA from 1 species